UCAAACAAUAAGCAGCCACGUCGACUGGUUCAAAGCAGUGGCCGAGGUAGUAACGAUAAACAACGAAAUAUUGUCGUGAAUGUAUCAUCUUUAGUCAUCGGUCAUAAUAUCGAUACUCCGCGAACAUGACUUUCAGGCAAGUCGUCAUUUUUCAGUGUGAUUGUGCACCCCUGCUUUGAGCAAUUACUUCGCUCCCAGAAAUUAUUGCCCCUUGGAUGGGCGUCAACGAUUAACCUGCACAAGUCCCUUUCAAUCCAGCAGCAGCCGGAGGAAUAGCAAAAGAUUUUGUCGGCUAGUUUUUCGGGUUAUCGAAAUUUCUUGGGGAAAAAACAGUGUUCUGCUUAUACUGUCAGUCUCGGCUAAAUCCCUUUGCUCUCCAUGGCUGUGAAAUCUUAUCUGGUACCUGGGUCAACGACUUCCCAAGUUGGCUGGCGUGAUUUAUUGACUAAACAUCCUGGAAUUGCAUUGAAUUGGGGGAGUAGACAGAAAAGGGCCCGCAAUUGGAGAAAUAAGGUUACUGUGCGGAUGGCUGAUCAGACGAGCCAUGAUAUGUCCAAGGGAUUGCAGAAAGAUUUAAGCUCGCUUCCAAAACCAUUGUCCGUAUCUAAUAUUUUGUCUGCUUCUGAUAAUGGUGCAGAAAUUCGAAUAUCAUUCAAGGGGGUACCAGGUUCCUACAGCGAGGACGCAGCAAUAAAAGCAUACCCUAAUUGUGAGACAGUUCCAUGCGGUGAUUUUGAAGCUGCUUUUAAGCAGGCUGUUGAGUUAUGGUUGGCCGACAAAGUUAUCAUUCCCAUUGAAAAUACUUCAGGAGGAAGCCUUCAUCGAAACUAUGAUUUACUUCUUCGCCAUAGGCUUCACAUUGUUGGUGAGGUGCAGCUGGCAAUUAAUUUCUGCCUUCUAGCUCUACCUGGUGUCAGAGCAGAGUUCUUAGAACGUGUUCUAAGCCAUCCCCAGGCACUUGAUCUUUGUGAUGCCUUCCUUACUAAAUUAAAUGUUGCUAGAGAAGGUGUUGAUGAUGCUGCUACUGCUGCUGAGUAUGUAGCUUCAAAUGGCCUGUACAAAGCUGGCGCGAUUGCAAGUCGUCGAGCUGCAGAAAUUUAUGGGCUUAAUGUACUUGCAGAAAGAAUCCAAGAUGAUCCUGAAAUUAUCAGUCGUUAUCUAAUUCUUGCCAGGGAUCCAAUAAUUUCAAGAGCUGAUAAGCCAUUCAAGACAAGUAUAGUGUUUAGUUUGGACGAGGGUCCUGGGGUAUUGUUUAAGGCAUUGGCAGUGUUUGCAUUGAGGGACAUCAAUUUGAGUAAGAUUGAAAGUCGACCACAAAGAAAUCGACCAUUAAGAGUGGUUGAUGACUCCAACACUGGAACUGCUAAGUAUUUCGACUAUCUUUUCUAUAUUGAUUUUGAAGCUUCUAUGGCUGAGCCCCGGGCACAAACUGCUCUAGGUCAUCUGCAGGUUUGUAAAUCACGCCUAGUGGCUGAGAGUUUUGGAUGCUUUUCUAUAUUAAACAUUUGAGUUCGACCUGGCCAUCAUUGCUCCACCGUUACUUUGUUUGGCAACCUUCAAAUUCUGUUUUCAUCUGUCUACGAGUAAGGGAAUUCGCCACAUUUAUUCGAGUUUUGGGCUGCUAUCCUAUGAGUGCAACCAUAUAGAUACAUCUUGUUGAAGAACUUCAUGUUGAUGCCUUCAUGCUUAAGCCUGAGUGAAAGAGGAUCUUGGGAGGAAACUUGGCGGCCAGAUUGUAAGAUGGCAACGGUUGAUCGUUCUUAAACAUAUCAUGAGAUGCCACUGAGUCUAGAUAAAUUUGAAGAUGAUCUUCUGGAGGAUGAUCAGAGGUGCAAAAAUUAAGCCAAAUUACAGUGCCUCCUUGAUAUGCAUCGUUUUCUUCUUGUUUUGUAUAUAGUGCAGCAACUAAAUAGGGGUUUGAAUCUCAUGCUAGUUCAUGCUAAACCAAACCACAAAUAAAAAACAUAAAAUUGGGGGAAAACACAUAAUACAUUGUUUCGUGUGUCCUGUUACUUUACUGAAUAAAUACAUGCUUAGUCAGCGAUUUUGAUUGAUUCCAAAAA